CCCCAAAAUAAAGAGCCUUGAAUACUAGAAGAAAAGCACCUAUACCUAGCAAAAUUAAGUGAAUACCCAAAAUUGUGGUCAUUUUAUUUCUAUCUUUCCA
rnacentral:antisense_RNA from 1 species